rnacentral:rRNA from 1 species
GAUGAACGCUGGCGGCGUGCCUAAUACAUGCAAGUCGAGCGAACAGACGAGGAGCUUGCUCCUCUCACGUUUGCGGCGCACGGGUGUGUAACGCGUGGAUAACCUACCUAUAUGUCUGGGAUCUCUUCGGGACACGGGCUCUUAUCCCAGAUGAUAUAUUGAACCAUGUUGGUCGUUAGUGAAUGACGGCUUUGCUGUCACUAAUAGAUGGAUCCCGGCGGCAUGAGCUGGUUGUGAAGGUAACGGCUUAGCAAGGCUACGAUGCGUAUCCGACCGGCGAGGGUGAUCGGCCACCCGGGAGCGGGAACGCGGUCCAGGCGCCUACGGGAGGCAGCAGUAGGGAAUCGUCCGCAGUGGGGGAGAACUUGACGGAGCAACGCCGAGUGAGUGAUGAAGGUCUUCGGAUCGUAAUGCUCUGUUAUUAGGGAAGAACAAAUGUGGAAGUAACCGUGCAGGUCUUGACGGUACCUAAUCAGAAAGCCACGGCUAACUACGUG